rnacentral:misc_RNA from 1 species
AAAUUUUAACCUUAGUUAUUUCUGUCAUUCUCUCAUUUUGUGUUGCAUUUCAAUUUGUUUAUAAUAAUCAUAAAAUUGAGCUAUUUUAUUGAAAUGUUUAUUAUAUACCCGAUUUCAGUUACAAUUCGAUUUGUAUUACAAAGUGAUAGCUUGGACCUGCUCGGGCACAGUUUGUGUCAUUAUCAAUAAGUUAUUUGAAGUUGAAGAUUUUCUAAUAAAAACUUCAAUGGAAACUCGAAAUGUAUCAAAUUGUUGCAGAGCAUGUUUACGCUCUGGUUGCUCUUUAACACCUAUCAGUAUUGAAGAUAGUGAUUCAGUAAAAUUUAGUGAUAAAUUAAUUUCAUGUGUAUCGGAAGUUCCAUGGGUUAAAAUGGAGAUAAAUUCAGUGAUAUGCAGUGAGUGCAUCAAUAUGUUGAGAAUUAGCUAUGAUUUUCGAAAUACAUGUAUAACAACUCAUGCAACUUUGGAAAAAAUUAUUAGUGAAGGGAACAGGAAUGAUGAUAGUUCAGCUGUUUUAUUUAGUACUAAAUAUGAUUGUACCGACUCAUCUUUAAUACAAACCAUUGAUAGUUUACCAGAUGAAGAUAUAACCAAUUCAGAAUUCCUUCAUCUGAAACAUUUUCUAGAUGAUGAGGACAGUGUUAAAAAUCCACAAAUUCUGUCUAGUGACAGAUCAAAAAACAAUUUAUCAGACUCUGCAACAGAGCGUUUUAUUCAUGAUUAUAAUCAAACACAAACCAUUGAAAUUGAAGUUCAUGAUAUUGAAGGAAUUAUUCUCAGUACGAAGGAUGAUUCAGACAGCGAACAUAACACAGAACUAAAUAAUGGAGAUUAUAAUAUCCAAGUUAAUAAGAGUAAGAUGGAAGUUAUAGAUGAAAAAAUUAAAAUAGAGGAAAUAAAUGCAAUCCAUAACAUUUGUACAAACAGUUCUGUUGGAGAGUCAGAUAGUGAAAAAGAAAGAUUUGAUAUUGAUGCAAGCUUAGUUGACUCACUUAGUGCGGACAGUUCUGUUGAAACGACAAUAAAUCACUUAAAGAAAGAGAAAAAGCAUAAAGUUAAAGUUGUGGCAUUUAAACAGAAAAAGAACACAGGUAUUCAAGUAAGACCACCUCUGUCUGCUCCUGCUAAAUCCAAGAGUAAUACCUGUACAAUAUGCGGAAAGUGUUACCGAAAAAAGGCUAAUUUAACGGUGCAUAUGAGAAGUCACACAGGAGAAAAACCGUUUGAGUGCAAAUAUUGUGAACGAAGGUUUUACCAUUCUUCACAUUUAAAAGAACACCUACGCAGGCAUACCGGCGAAAAGCCGUUUCAGUGUAACGUUUGUGUGAAGAGAUUUACUAUUAAAGGUGAAUUGACGAUGCACAUGAAAUCACAUACUGGUGAAAAACCAUUUCCGUGCAGUGUUUGUAACAGGAGAUGUUUGACAUCAUCGGAUUUGAAAAUUCAUAUGAGAACACAUACCGGAGAAAAACCUUACACUUGUGAGACUUGUGGGAGAAAAUUUGGCAGUGCCUAUAUUUUGACUUCUCACAUUAAAACUCAUACAGGUGACCGUCCUCAUGCUUGUAAAGUGUGUGAUAAAACCUUUACACAAUCAUCACAUUUAAAUGUACAUAUGAGGAAACAUACAGGUGAAAAGAUCACUUGCAAAUAUUGUGAUGCCAGCUUCAAUCAUUCCUCGCAAUUAACUGUUCACAUGAGAGAACAUACAGGUAAACAGCCGUACAAAUGCGAAAUUUGUGACAAGCUGUGCAAUUACGCUUCUGGAUUACAAACUCACAUGUUAAAACAUACAGGAAAGAAAUUUUCAUGCAAUACGUGCGAGAAACAAUUUACCACUGCCGCUUACUUGGCAGAACACGUACGCUACCAUACCGGUGAGAAUUUGUUUGCCUGUUUGGUUUGUGAGAGACAGUUUACAAGAAAAACAUAUUUAGAUAAGCACUUGAGAACACACACUGGAGAGAAGCCAUAUACCUGUUUUGUUUGUGGUAGAAGUUUCAGUCAGUCCUCAAGUUUAAAGCUUGUGAGAAGAGAAGAUUAUUGUCAUAUGAUUGUCAUGAUUGAUUAUUUGAGAUUCCACGAUUAUUCGGCAUUUUUGUAAUUUUUGUUUUGUGGUUGAGAUCCAGACAAAACGUUUCCUUUAAAGAAUAAAGACUAUCAAAAACAUUGAAUACCUACGGGACACCUACUGAUACUCUGUGCGAGCUCCCAACCGUGCUUCCCUGUUUACUCCCAACCAAGUUAGAUAAAAAAGAUAUUGAAGAUUGCAGCCUUGAGCUGGAGUAUGGCAAGGAGUAUGGGCUCCACUACGACAUGUACAGAAACGGAUUACCUAAACUGUUCAAGAAAAGGCAUGACAAUCCACAACCCACCAAAGACCUGGUAAAUGAAUUCUGCAAAAACUGAAAACCAAACUAAGUUAAAUAAAUUAUUAUGUUCCUA